rnacentral:lncRNA from 1 species
UGGCCUUGCUGGUCGCAGUAGGAUGUGGUGGCACUCAACAGUAACCCCAGCACUCAGGAGGCCGAUGCAAGAGGAUAAUUUCGGGUUCGAGGCUAGCCUGGGCUACAUACUUAGUGAGUUCAAGGCCAGCCUGAACUGAAUAUAGACACCCUGUCUAUAAAUAAACAAAAACAAAAUAAGAGGGGAGGCGUGGAACGAUGGCUUAGAAUUCCCGAACGUUGCAACCCACUAAACGCGAACUCCCCGGCAGACCUAUAGCGGACUUUGCGCUUUCCCUCCCCUUCCCGCUAGCGGCUCCCGGGCCCAUCUGGGGCCCACCGAAGUAUGCAGGGCAGAGUGGGGAGACUGUAAAUCAAGGGACAGAGGCAGCGGCUCCGUGACCUGAGGCUUGGGUACGAACCCGGUAACAGGUCGCGAAGGCUCUGCCAAGGCAACCAAGCAAAGCAGAGCGCUACAGCUGACACAAACGCGGAUUCUCGGACUCCACUCCGGUCUCAUACGAUCACCAACUCUAUCUAGCAGCGCCCGGGAACCUGUAUUGUAAACUAGCGCCCGGGAGGCCUUGGUUCAGUGAAGUUUGAGAACAAUCGCUUCAAGACCAGCAGAACCGUUAUCCCGAAUCCAGCGAAGCCCUCGGUUGCGAAGUCUCAACCGAGCCAGUUCUUUGCUUUGGUCCCGCCCCACUGCUUAGCGUGGAUUGGUGGAGGGAAGUUGCGUGGCCGCUGAUUGGGGAGCGAUGGAGUCGCUCCUGGACACUGUGGUGUUCGGUUGCUCCAUAGUGCUAAAUUUAUCUUCAGACCAGGACCGCGCCAGCAGCGAAUCGGAUCUCUAUGGAGGUGGCAUAGGCGAUGUUCCUGAGCUGAGAGCAUCACCCUGUCCCCGCCUCCUCCUUUCUUCUGUUUUGUUUUUCACCUCCUCCUCUCUUCUUCUUCCCUCCAGUCUGCGACGACUGGCUCUUGACCUUGCUCAGGCCUCGGUGAAGAACCCAUUGUUCACAUCUGGAACCAUCUGGGGGGCCGAGGAAGAGUGGAAGGAUAGAGGUACCUGGAAGAAGAGAGGAAAGAUGAGUGUUUUUCCCUCUUUGGGGAGUGGAAUGGAAAGUUUACUUAAGGAAAUACAGAUUCUUUGUCCUCAAGAGAUUCAGGCUUCUGGUUACUCCCCUUCCCACCCCAUCCCUUAAUUUUAUUCUUUUGAAGAGUCUACAUUUCAAGCUGCCAAAAUGGAGUUUUGAUUUCAGGAGGGAGUACUCCUCAUUUCAG